GAUGAACGCUAGCGAUAGGCUUUACACAUGCAAGUCGAGGGGCAGCGAGGGUAGCAAUACCUGUCGGCGACCGGCGCACGGGUGAGUAACGCGUAUGUAACCUGCCCGCAACAGGGGGAUAACCCGGCGAAAGUCGGACUAAUACCGCAUAAAACAGGGGUCCCGCAUGGGAAUAUUUGUUAAAGAUUUAUCGGUUGCGGAUGGGCAUGCGUACCAUUAGGUAGUUGGUGAGGUAACGGCUCACCAAGCCUUCGAUGGUUAGGGGUUCUGAGAGGAAGGUCCCCCACACUGGUACUGAGACACGGACCAGACUCCUACGGGAGGCAGCAGUGAGGAAUAUUGGUCAAUGGGCGAGAGCCUGAGCCAGCCAAGUCGCGUGAAGGAUGACUGCCCUAUGGGUUGUAAACUUCUUUUACAAGGGAAUAAAAUGAGAUACGUGUAUUUUAUUGCAUGUACCUUGGGAAUAAGCAUCGGCUAACUCCGUG
rnacentral:rRNA from 1 species